CCGGGAUUGGAGGAAAGAGGGGGAAGGGAGGCAGGCCGGAUCCGCAGCUGCUGUUGUAGGGAUGCCUGCCGGGAGAGUCACCGGGCCACCCCUUUUACAAAAUAGCGGUCUCUGGCAAGUAGGAAGUUUCCCUUGGUCUUUCUUCUGCUGGGGACGCGGCUGCCCCAUAGGUGGGCAGGGUACGGGGCAAUUGGAGCUGCCAGAAGUCCCUCCUGAAGGUUUUGACAGCAUGUUUGGAUUCUGGAUCCAAGAAUCCUGUGCAAGACUGUUUUUUUCAGGGGGGAACUGCAUUUUUGUGUCCUCUUCAAUACACACAUAGACACACAGAUGUGCCCCUUUUCUAAUUUUAUUCUUGCUCAAAAACCCUGCGUGCAAUGUCCCACUGGAGGGAUUUCCAGCCUUCUGGUGUUAAUGACGAGAGUGGGGAUGCGGAGUCUCCCCAUGUAGCGGAAGAAGCGUGUGGAUUUGGUUACAGUAAAGGGGAUUGGGUGUCAUGGGAGAAAAUCCCAUGAGGCUGAAGCAGAGUCUGGGAGAGAAAGGGGAUGCCGGCGGGUGGACAACUCCGACUGGAAAACCGAUCCAGCUCCCGGAUUUUCUCCUCCACUCGGUCCAGGGGCUUCUGGGGUCCCCUUCCCCGGAGUCCUCCACUCUCCCCAACCCUACCAGCCACUGAGUCUUUGCUAUCCCUGCGCCUCUCUAGGCAGGCAACCCGCCCAGUUUAUUUUAAGGGCUGGGCAGGAUGGUGAGUGGAAGGGUGCGUGAGAAAAGGCCGCCUAGAUUCGGACUCCGUGCUGACCAUCCUACCCGAGAAGCCAAGACCCAUUCCAUCACCAGCAGGGUCUCUCCACUAGUUCCCAGUGCUGUUUACCUAAAUAAGAAGUAGCCCCAGUCGAGGAGGAUGCCAAAGUAUGGGAGCGGUUGCACAGCAAAGUCCCUGGAGAAGAAGUAAAAAACGUUUGCUUUGGAUCUUCCGGAAAGUUAACUGUGAUGCAGAGGUCCUGAAGUCUUUGCAGGAAUGAGUCUCACCGUGAGAGAUAGCAGAUCCUAUCUGGUGUUGAUGUAAUUAUUGUGUCGGAGAAGAACAUUAUAUGAUAAAGUGUUAUCUAAUAUUCUAGAAGCCAUUAAAGCGUCAAACUUUAAUGUCAAGCCUUUUAGAUCUAAGGCAGUUCAGUGUUUCCUCUGAUGUACAGCUUUAUUUUAGAACUCCCAGAAAACAAGGGGAUCAUUUUAUUUUUAUUUAUUUGUUUUACAGAACGCCAGUCCUUCCUACUCGCUUCCUCCACCCCCACACCAGCUUUUACCCUGGAACUGGCUUUGGAACCUGUUCUGGAACUCGCUCUUUGGAGCAGGCUGGCUUGGAACUCACAGAGAUCCAUCUGCCUCUGCCUCUGGGAUUAAAUGUCUGUGCCACCAAUGCCCAGCUCUGUGCUUUCUUUUUA
rnacentral:lncRNA from 1 species